ACCCAUUCAGCAUGGCUUAGUCAGCUAGGGCUCUUCAGGCCUGUGGGUCCACGGCUCAGAUGAACCACCUGGAUACGUUCCCGUGUGGAGCAUCCCCACCGGCUGAAAUGUGAUGAGUUACUGUUGCUACACAGGUGGCGACAGUCAGUUCCCACUUGUUCGUGCUGCUGAUGGGAACUGGGGCCUGUACAGGAACCACGGCUCCCACGUGUCUCUCAUUCCAGGACACUCUGGUCUCACCGAGCGAGGCUUCAGAGUUCUCGCGGUAUCUCGCUUUAAGGUGACUAGCCGCCUUAGUUCAGAACGGUGCCGUCCUGCGCAUUUGCAGAUGCUUCGUUUCACCCAAGAGCCUGCAAUGGUGACCUGGCCUCUUCUGACUCAGGUCCUGUCAGGGUACAAGGUCCAGGCUGGCCUAUAUUCCCCCUUGUUCCAGAGGGCUGUGAGGAACCCGGACGCACAGUUCACUCUCCCGCACCUGACCCAGCAGCCAGGACCUUCAGCAAGCAGGCCUCCCGGGUACCUCUUAUCGGAGGAGAGCUCCGCCCCACCCAGCUGUGCCAAGAUUUUCAAGUUUCCCCUGGAUCUGCCAGGGGAAACUUUUGGGAGGAAUAGACUGCACUGGUUAGGUUCCAGCUUGGAAUUAGACGCCCAGGUUCCCCAAGAGCCCGUGUCAGUGAUCCUGCCUCUCACCACCUUUGAACUCUUCCAGAUGCCUGGCUACGUUGAACGCGCAGCGCAUAGCAUGUGCAUGCGCAGUACGAGCCCACUCAGGAGGCCUUGGGCAGCUGGGGCCCUCCAGGCUUAUGGGGCCAUGGACGGACCUCACCAUCGGGAUGUUCUCCUGGGUGGAGGAGAACCCUCUGCAGUACUCUCUGGUUCUGCGGCUGCAGAGGCAUACCUGCGUGGCGUGGCGUGCCCCCUCUUCUUGGGAACUAGAUGAUGCAAGUAACUAGCUGAGUAACUGCCUGAAUGAGUCAGAAUAUUGAACGCACGCCCUCAGGAAUUGGAUGAAGCCCACCUGCAUUUGUGAGGAUGGAUCUUCUUUACUCAGUCUGCUGAUUCAAAUGCUAAUCUCUCCUGGAGACACCCUCACAGACACACCCAAAAAUAAUAUUUUACCAGCUAUCUGGGCAUCCCUUAGCCUAGUCAAGUUGACACAUAAAAUUAACCAAUACAGCCAAUGACUGGAAAAUGUUAGUUACUGGCAUCAUAACUUCUUCUUGAGAGAUUGAUCUUAUCAGUGGAAAAAUUCUACAAAUUGCAAAAGAGGACUACACAAGCAAGCCUAACCCAGAGCUGAAAUCUCAGACUUUGGUGUAUGUAAUUCCACGUAAGCAUAGACGGGGAAAGAGAUGAUGUUUCCUGUGCACUCCCAGUUCAGGGCAUUGCUUCUAGUUCCAUUCUUUCCCCAGUGGAAAUUCCAGGACAGUGGGAGCAGGACAUGAUGCAAGCAGGAAGUUAUGAAAAAAGUAACUUGAUGAUUUAGUGGGAUUUUCAGAUCAACUGGCAGAUCCAGAUAUGAAAAAUGGAAAUCCAGACCAUAAAAGACAUGACUUUUCAUAAUUCACCUUGGUUUCUCAUUCUAGUUCCAAAAAUGGGAGUGAACUUGCAGAUCCCAGGUUUUUACUACCAGGUAUUAGCCAGCUGAUAUUUUCUGUAGUGUCAGACCAAUGGGCUAAAUAUUUCAUUCAAGUCAAUUUUGCUGUGUGCAUGUCAGUCAGUCUUUUUUAAGAAUUAAUACAAACUGCACAGUGCAAAGAAAAAAAUGCCUUUAGGUGAAUUUGGCAGGAAAUAAUAUAGUUGAAAAGUAAACCAGAAGAUUCAUUUAGUCAAUUAAUAACACAUGUUUAUAAUGCAUUUACUCUCUACUGUUCUAGAAGACCAGAAUACUGAACAACAGUGAACAAGACUGGUUUCCUUUGAUGAAGUUACGACAUAGAGGAGGGAGAUAAAUAAUAAAUUUCUAAAUGAACAUCUGAAAUAUGGAAAAUGAGAUAAACUUCUAAUAUGCUAACAGAUUGAGAGUGAGAUGAUGGAGUGAGGCAGUUGUUGGUGAUGACAAGGACACAGAGCAUGUGGAAGAGAAGAGGUGAAGAAGCUGAGGAACCAGUUCCUUGUGUCAAAGUUAAAACUAUCAAGAAUUACGAUGAAUGGUAAGGCAACAAACACAAAUAAGCAAAUAAAAAACUCUGAGUCUGUUCAAAAUACAAAGAUAGUAGAACUCACAAAGAACAAAAAGAGUGACAUACAGUGAAUGAAUGAUUUAGGACCAAUAUAAGAUGCCGUUUGAAAAGCAAUUUUGAACCACCAGAGAAGUCAAGCAAAAUUAAGAGCAGUUAGCACUCAACAAGGAAAAAGAGCUAUUUUAGAGGUUAUUUGCACC
ensembl:lncRNA